AUUCCGGUUGAUCCUGCCGGAGGUCAUUGCUAUUGGAGUCCGAUUUAGCCAUGCUAGUUGCACGAGUUUGUACUCGUAGCAGAUAGCUCAGUAACACGUGGCCAAACUACCCUAUGGAUCCGGCCAACCUCGGGAAACUG
rnacentral:rRNA from 1 species